GUCUAUGGCCACAUCAUCCCAGCCACACCUGAGCUCGUCUGGUCUUAGAAGCUAACCAGGGUUGGGCCUGGUUAGAACUUGGAUGGGAGGAUAUAUUCA
rnacentral:rRNA from 1 species